rnacentral:tRNA from 1 species
GCCCAGAUGGCGGAAUUGGUAUACGCGCACGACUCAAAAUCGUGUCUCUUCGGGGAUGUGGGUUCGACUCCCACUCUGGGCACAA